rnacentral:rRNA from 1 species
AUUGAACGCUGGCGGAAUGCUUUACACAUGCAAGUCGAGCGGCAGCGCGGGGCAACCUGGCGGCGAGCGGCGAACGGGUGAGUAAUGUAUCGGAACGUGUCCUGUCGUGGAGGAUAGCCCGGUGAAAACCGGAUUAAUACCGCAUACGAUCGAGAGAUGAAAGUGAGGGACCGCAAGGCCUCACGCGAUAGGAGCGGCCGAUAUCUGAUUAGCUAGUUGGUGGGGUAAAGGCCCACCAAGGCUUCGAUCAGUAGCUGGUCUGAGAGGAUGAUCAGCCACACUGGGACUGAGACACGGCCCAGACUCCUACGGGAGGCAGCAGUGGGGAAUUUUGGACAAUGGGGGCAACCCUGAUCCAGCCAUUCCGCGUGAGUGAAGAAGGCCUUCGGGUUGUAAAGCUCUUUUGUCCGGGAAGAAACGGUUUUGGCUAAUAACCAAGACUACUGACGGUACCGGAAGAAUAAGGACCGGCUAACUACGUGCCAGCAGCCGCGGUAA